rnacentral:lncRNA from 1 species
CUUGAGGUAAAAAAGGUGGUGGGAUAUCCACUCUUAUCUCCUCAAUAUCUACCUUUCUUGGUUCAUUACUCCCACUGAUUUCGCCAUUCUCUAAGAAUCUGGCAUUACCGGUUUCAACUAUUCUCACACUGUGGUUAGGACAAUAAAAUCUGUACCCUUUCGAUUUAUCCGGAUAGCCAAUGAAAUAUCCAGAUAUCGUUCUUGAAUCAAGCUUUUUCUCAUGUGGGUUAUAGAUUCUUGCCUCC